CAAUUGAUGAUUUUUUAAAUAGAAAAGAUUUGAACCAUUCCAAUUCUGAAUUACGAAGACGUGAAGAGCCCAGAAUGUAGUAAGCGCAACGAAGUGCAGAUAAAAGAACAUUCGUUGAUGAAGUGUUUAAAUUUGAUUUAAUACAUUUCCAUAUUUCUUUUAUCAAAUCUUCAUUCGUAGACUGAAUAGAUGUUUCAAUGCAUUUCGACAGUCCAUCUA